rnacentral:rRNA from 1 species
AGAGUUUGAUCAUGGCUCAGGACGAACGCUGGCAGCGUGCUUAACACAUGCAAGUCGAACGGUAAGGCCUUUCGGGGUACACGAGUGGCGAACGGGUGAGUAACACGUGGGUGAUCUGCCCUGCACUUCGGGAUAAGCCUGGGAAACUGGGUCUAAUACCGGAUAUGACUACGAAUCGCAUGGUUUGUGGUGGAAAGCUUUUGCGGUGUGGGAUGGGCCCGCGGCCUAUCAGCUUGUUGGUGGGGUGAUGGCCUACCAAGGCGACGACGGGUAGCCGGCCUGAGAGGGUGUCCGGCCACACUGGGACUGAGACACGGUCCAGACUCCUACGGGAGGCAGCAGUGGGGAAUAUUGCACAAUGGGCGCAAGCCUGAUGCAGCGACGCCGCGUGAGGGAUGACGGCCUUCGGGUUGUAAACCUCUUUCAGUAUCGACGAAGCGCAAGUGACGGUAGGUACAGAAGAAGGACCGGCCAACUACGUGCCAGCAGCCGCGGUAAUACGUAGGGUCCGAGCGUUGUCCGGAAUUACUGGGCGUAAAGAGCUCGUAGGUGGUUUGUCGCGUUGUUCGUGAAAACUCACAGCUCAACUGUGGGCGUGCGGGCGAUACGGGCAGACUGGAGUACUGCAGGGGAGACUGGAAUUCCUGGUGUAGCGGUGGAAUGCGCAGAUAUCAGGAGGAACACCGGUGGCGAAGGCGGGUCUCUGGGCAGUAACUGACGCUGAGGAGCGAAAGCGUGGGGAGCGAACAGGAUUAGAUACCCUAGUAGUCC